UGUCAACCUGUUGGGAAAUUAUAGCUGCUCCUCCUGCCAGAUCAGUCAGCUGAGAUGGAAACAUCAAUCUGAGAAGAUGUGCACUUUCUGUCGCAUGAGAAAAAAACAGAGAGGUGACAUGAUUGUCACAGAGGAAUCGUGGAGGACCACAAGGUUUAGAAGAUGGCUCAAUAUUCCAACCUUGCAAUUCUCAGAGAAAGUAAUGAGAAAAACACAGUCCUGUGGAUCACCAAGUCCAGAUUUGUACAAAGAAAAACUAGUUCAGGGCUGAGACUGAGAGCUGAUACAUUUCAAGGAGGACCGGCCGGCUGCACUUGUGAGCGGUGACAGAUCUCUGUGAAAUAUAAUCCUGAUUAAAAAUGCAUGUGUGAAACCUCUUCGAAUAAAGCGCUGUGUCCAAC
rnacentral:lncRNA from 1 species